rfam:Schistosoma haematobium scaffold296_1, whole genome shotgun sequence.
AUCCGACUGACGAGUGCUAAAUAGGACGAAAUACUCGUCCUAGAU